AUGAAGAUAAAUUUACAUAGUCAUAUAGACGUGGAUCGAUCAUAUGGAGACGCUGUUGGGUAUCCCUUUCCCCGUGAGCCCCUUCUCCUGGCCGGCCACGUCCGGGAACAAGAGCGUGUACGGCACCUUGACCGGCCCCCUCCGGUUCUUGAGCCGCGGGUCCUUGUUCCUCUCCUCCACCCGCCUCUCCACCCGCCGGAGGUCCUCCCGGAACCCGUCCAGCAGGCGCAGCAACUGGCCGUCGUCCGUCCACGUGGACGUGGCGCGCUGCCCGAGGUAGACCUCGUCGGAGGUGUGGUUGGACAGCACCUCGAUGAGCGCCAGCCCCAGCGUGGCGGUGAACCUGUCGGGCACCAUCUCCAGGAAGAACUUCUCCGGGUCGGCCUCCAGCUGCGUCAUCUCCGGCGACCCCGGCAGCGGCACGAACCGGCGGCACCGCGUGGGCCGGUUCGGGGGGAACCCCGCGUAGGCGUACUGCCCGAAGUUGACGGCCGCGUGCAGCGCGGAGGCGAUCCAGACGAGCGUCGACAGCGUCUGGGCGAGGUGGUCGACGGUGUCCAGCGCCAGCCAGCACGCCUGGUCGCCCUGCCGGUCGCCGUGGCCGACGGUGCGCACGUCGUGCCACCACGCCUGCAGCUCCGCGUCGCCGUCCACCUCCUUGUCGCUGUGGUAGAAGUGGGCGCAGUAGCUGCGCACCCACCCGUCGAUGGCGUGCCACACCUCGAGCCCGUCGACGGCGUACGGGUAGUCCUCGAUGUGCAGGGUCAGGCCGCCGGGCUCAUCGGAGCUGGAGGCCACCCCCCUUCAGAUACAAGAAUAACAAUUACAUUACAGCUCGGUAGAUUGCCAUUUGUUCUCCUAAACUUUUCAAAAAGAAAUGGGAGCAAGGAAAUGGUUUGA
rnacentral:rRNA from 1 species